UACAGAGGUCCCAAGCGUUGUUCGGAUUCAUUGGGCGUAAAGGGUGCGUAGGUGGUGCUGUAAGUCAGGUGUGAAAUCUCGGGGCUCAACCCCGAAACUGCACUUGAUACUGCAGUGCUCGAGGACUGGAGAGGAGAUCGGAAUUCAUGGUGUAGCAGUGAAAUGCGUAGAUAUCAUGAGGAAGACCAGUGGCGAAGGCGGAUCUCUGGACAGUUCCUGACACUGAGGCACGAAGGCCAGGGGAGCAAACGGG
rnacentral:rRNA from 1 species